rnacentral:rRNA from 1 species
AACGAACGCUGGCGGCAGGCCUAACACAUGCAAGUCGAACGCUCGUAGCAAUACGGGAGUGGCGCACGGGUGAGUAACGCGUGGGCACCUGCCCGGUGGUCCGGAAUAACCGCGGGAAACUGCGGCUAAUACCGAAUACGCCCUUAGGGGGAAAGAUUUAUCGCCAUCGGAUGGGCCCGCGUAGGAUUAGCUAGUUGGUGAGGUAACGGCUCACCAAGGCGACGAUCCUUAGCUGGUCUGAGAGGAUGAUCAGCCACACUGGGACUGAGACACGGCCCAGACUCCUACGGGAGGCAGCAGUGGGGAAUAUUGGACAAUGGGGGCAACCCUGAUCCAGCCAUGCCGCGUGAGUGAUGAAGGCCUUCGGGUUGUAAAGCUCUUUUGGCGGGGACGAUGAUGACGGUACCCGCAGAAUAAGCCCCGGCUAACUUCGUGCCAGCCGCCGCCGUAACAC